rnacentral:rRNA from 1 species
CCUACGGGAGGCAGCAGUGAGGAAUAUUGGUCAAUGGACGGAAGUCUGAACCAGCCAUGCCGCGUGCAGGAAGACGGCUCUAUGAGUUGUAAACUUCUUUUGUACAAGGAUAAACCUUAAUACGUGUAUUCAGCUGCAUGUACUUUACGAAUAAGGAUCGGCUAACUCCGUGCCAGCAGCCGCGGUAAUACGGAGGAUCCAAGCGUUAUCCGGAUUUAUUGGGUUUAAAGGGUACGUAGGCGGAUUGUUAAGUUAGCGGUGAAAGUGAGAGGCUCAACCUCUUCGAGCCGUUGAAACUGGUAGUCUUGAGUGAGAGAGAAGUAGGCGGAAUGCGUGGUGUAGCGGUGAAAUGCAUAGAUAUCACGCAGAACUCCGAUUGCGAAGGCAGCAUACCGGAGCUAAACUGACGCUGAUGCACGAAAGUGUGGGUAUCGAACAGGAUUAGAUACCCCUGUAGUC